UACGGAGGGGGCUAGCGUUGUUCGGAAUUACUGGGCGUAAAGCGCACGUAGGCGGCUUUUUAAGUCAGGGGUGAAAUCCUGGAGCUCAACUCCAGAACUGCCUUUGAUACUGGGAAGCUUGAGUCCGGGAGAGGUGAGUGGAACUGCGAGUGUAGAGGUGAAAUUCGUAGAUAUUCGCAAGAACACCAGUGGCGAAGGCGGCUCACUGGCCCGGUACUGACGCUGAGGUGCGAAAGCGUGGGGAGCAAACAGG
rnacentral:rRNA from 1 species